rnacentral:rRNA from 1 species
GAUGAACGCUGGCGGCGUGCCUAAUACAUGCAAGUCGAGCGAAUGGAUUGAGAGCUUGCUCUUAUGAAGUUAGCGGCGGACGGGUGAGUAACACGUGGGUAACCUGCCCAUAAGACUGGGAUAACUCCGGGAAACCGGGGCUAAUACCGGAUAACAUUUUGAACCGCAUGGUUCGAAAUUGAAAGGCGGCUUCGGCUGUCACUUAUGGAUGGACCCGCGUCGCAUUAGCUAGUUGGUGAGGUAACGGCUCACCAAGGCAACGAUGCGUAGGCGGCGUGAGAGGGUGAUCGGCCACACUGGGACUGAGACACGGCCCAGACUCCUACGGGAGGGAGCAGUAGGGAAUCUUCCGCAAUGGACGAAAGUCUGACGGAGCAACGCCGCGUGAGUGAUGAAGGCUUUCGGGUCGUAAAACUCUGUUGUUAGGGAAGAACAAGUGCUAGUUGAAUAAGCUGGCACCUUGACGGUACCUAACCAGAAAGCCACGGCUAACUACGUGCCAGCCGCCGCCGUAA